UAAUACGGAGGGGGCUAGCGUUGUUCGGAAUUACUGGGCGUAAAGCGCACGUAGGCGGACUGAAAAGUUGGAGGUGAAAUCCCAGGGCUCAACCUUGGAACUGCCUUCAAAACUAUCAGUCUGGAGUUCGAGAGAGGUGAGUGGAAUUCCGAGUGUAGAGGUGAAAUUCGUAGAUAUUCGGAGGAACACCAGUGGCGAAGGCGGCUCACUGGCUCGAUACUGACGCUGAGGUGCGAAAGCGUGGGGAGCAAACAGG
rnacentral:rRNA from 1 species